rnacentral:rRNA from 1 species
UACGUAGGGUGCAAGCGUUGUCCGGAAUUAUUGGGCGUAAAGAGCUCGUAGGCGGUCUGUCGCGUCUGCUGUGAAAACUCGGGGCUUAACCCCGGGCCUGCAGUGGGUACGGGCAGACUAGAGUGCGGUAGGGGAGACUGGAGUUCCUGGUGUAGCGGUGAAAUGCGCAGAUAUCAGGAGGAACACCGGUGGCGAAGGCGGGUCUCUGGGCCGUAACUGACGCUGAGGAGCGAAAGCGUGGGGAGCGAACAGG